GAUCAUGGCUCAGGAUGAACGCUAGCUACAGGCUUAACACAUGCAAGUCGAGGGGCAGCAUGGUCUUAGCUUGCUAAGGCCGAUGGCGACCGGCGCACGGGUGAGUAACACGUAUCCAACCUGCCGUCUACUCUUGGACAGCCUUCUGAAAGGAAGAUUAAUACAAGAUGGCAUCAUGAGUUCACAUGUUCACACGAUUAAAGGAUUCGUGAACGAUGGGG
rnacentral:rRNA from 1 species